GUCCACGGCCAUACCACACUGAACAUGCCUGAUCUCCUCUGAUCUUGGAAGCUAAGCAAGGUCAGGCCUGGUGAGUAUUUGAAUGGGAGAAAGAAAAAUAAAUCACAUGAAGA
rnacentral:rRNA from 1 species